rnacentral:lncRNA from 1 species
AAAAAUCAACAUACAAUCGCAGAUCUAGCAAGAGGUCAGUGAAAACUCUCCAGAUCUGAGGUCUCCGUAGAACAAGACUUUAACCCCUCAAAUCUCCAUCAUUUUCCACGAAAUUUCAGUAUGUUGUAGUUCAAGAUGUUAGAUACAACUCUCAUGAAGAAAUCGAAGCCAAAAUCGGACUCUAAACACACAUGCAAGCUCAAACAAGUUACUGACUCACA